rnacentral:rRNA from 1 species
UGGCUCUCGCAUCGAUGAAGAACGCAGCGAAUUGCGAUACGUAAUGUGAAUUGCAGAAUUCAGUGAAUCAUCGAAUCUUUGAACGCACCUUGCACCCUUUGGUAUUCCGAAGGGUAUGCCCGUUUGAGUGUCAUUGUAAUCUCACACCUACUGUCUUGUAAUGAGGCAAUAGGAAGUGGACUUGGGAGUUGCGGUGGUACGACCGCUCUCUUGAAAUGCAUUAGCGGACUCGAAUGCUGUUCCGUGACGGUGUAAUAAACAUUUCACCGCUUGCUUACGCAAAGGACAGCACGUGCAGUCGGCUUCGAAUCGUCGCGUGACAAACUUGACAACUUGACUUCAAAUCGGGUAGGACUACCCGCUGAACUUAAGCAUAUCAAUAAGCGGAGGAAAAGAAACU